rnacentral:piRNA from 1 species
AUUGGAUUGGAGAAUUUCCAGCGAGAAAG